AGUAGUCAUGAGGAGAGAGUGGCCAAUGGUGGCUCAUCAUGGAGGAGCCCACUUCCACUAGACCACUGAGUCAACCUGCAUUUGAGACAGCUGGUGAGAUGGAUACUAGCCCAGCAUUUUAUACAAGAAGCUGAAAUUGUGCCAGUGUGGAAUAACAGUUGAAGUUAACUAUCAUGCUGAACAAGAGACUUCAGCUUGGAGUCUCUGAAGCUACGCACAGGGGUAACAGAAAUUGCUGGACAGGGAACUCACAGAAACAGAGAAGGUUCUGGAUACCCUGGAAUGGAAACCCUGACUAAGACAAUGGGGAAAACUCUAGUCUCAAGAACGACAUUACCUUCGUGGCCGUGGGGAAAGAAGGCUCAGGUUAGCACAAGAAAGGAGCCAGCCAAUAGAAGAAGACUCAGAACUUUUCUGUCUUGAACUCAAUGUAACCUCAAAGCAUGCAUGAGAAAAGCCUUGGACUCUGUACAUAGGAGCAGCACACACUAGAGGGAAGUGGAGUUAUCAUCGGAGAAGCUGCUUUGCACCCCACAGUGAAUGAGCUACUCAGAGACAGCCUGACUACAAGCAAGUGCUAUGGACUAUCCAUCAACGGUCAAGUGGGGAAUCAGCCCCAUUCCUCUGGGACCUUGAAGAAGGGCCUCUCACUCUGCCACAUGGGCCUGAUCUCUCCUCAGAGACCAUGCUGCAUCCUGCCUGCUUGUCUACUUGGCCCUGUUCUGUAUCAGUUUCUUCCAAGACUGAAACAUUCCAUUCCAAAAGGAAGUUCUUUAAGCAGAGAGGUAAAUAAAUCAAAAACAGAUUCAGGAAGUCCCUGAAACUGACCAGAUUCACAAGGCCUCUUCCUGCCAGAGUAAACGACAAAAGCCAAGAGUCCCUUUCACAAAUGCACAGCCACGCUUCAAAGACUCUCAGACAAGCUGAGCUGCAAAGGAGACUCUCAGACCAGACAAGCUGCCUGGAAGAAGUAGAAGCAGGCCACGAUGCCUCAAAAAUAUUUACAUCAGCUGAGGCACCGGGAAAACACAUUCUCCAACUUGUUGAGCUACCUGCAGUGUGCUCCAGGUCCCCAGCUCUGUGAGCUGUCACCCAUGCUGGGUUGAGCUUUGGAGAUGCAGAGGUCUCUGAAUCAUUUCUGCUCCUAUAAGUAGCCCCUCACUCAUACUCCUGCUAGUAUCCCCAAGAAAACUCAUUGCUUUGCCAAGUCGGGCUUUGGUCUGCUGUGGGUUCCCUCUCUGGGGUGAGUCAAUAUGGAUGUUGUAUCUCCUCAGGAAAAGUUUUGUUACCCAAAAGGUGUUGGUGGCCCUGCUAAACAAAUCUCUUAUUCCAAA